GUCUUUCUGAGCCAAAAGUUCAGGUGAAUGAUGCCUGGCUCGAGACCAUUCAAUCUCAUGAUCUCAUGAUUAUAACGAUGAUGAUGAUGAUGUCGGACCAGGCUUCAUUCCCCUCAACUUACACGUUUUGCUUCUCAAUCUUCAAGAC
rnacentral:misc_RNA from 1 species